AAUACAAGUUUUCUUCAUAUAAUAUGGAUAACAUUCACUGCUGCAGGCCUUCUUUUCAUUAUUGUGACCACAGUAGUCAUACAUAAAAAAUGCCAUAAAAGGAAAGAAAUAAGUUCAGCCCUUGACAGUAGACAGAGUGACACCAGAUGUAGGCAACAGAUUGUGCACAAUGAGGAUAUUCCGAAAAAUAAGAAAAUUCAAAACCCCUAUUGUGGACUGCAAACGGAAGGAGGAAAUGAUGAGAUUUACAGCAAUGAACUGGAUGCACAAUACGAAGAUUGUGACACUUGCACAAGUUAUGAUCCAACUCAUAGAAACAGUUGCACAUAUGAAAAUUUAGUGGAUGGGAACCAUGAUGAUAUUUAUGCAAAUACAUGAAGAUUUUUCUAAAAAGUGGAACAAAACAUCUAAAACCUGAUUGGAUUAUAGUUGUAUUAUAAAAUUAGAAAUUAUAUUUCUCUUCUUUCAAAAAUGUAUAUUUAGAAUAAUGUGUAGCAAUAUGACAUGAGUAUUGUAAUGUUUUGAUUGAUGAUGAUGAUAGUCUUUGGAGGUAGCAUGGGGAAAGUGAUACGACAUUGGGGUCUAUAUUAGUUGGUUGAAAUCCAACUUCAGCACAGGGCCAUUCAUCAAAUGCAAAUCAGAAAACAGUUAUUCAUCAAAUGUUCACAUCAGCAAAUGUUUUUCUUAGGGAAGUGAGUUAGUUGGCCAACAUAUGGAAAUUUGCCCUUUUUAGCACUACAGUGCAAUCUUUGCAUUAGUAUAUAUAAGUAGGGGUGUG